ACUCAAUGUCAUAUUUAGAGUUACAGACAUGAAUAGCAGCAUAUACAAGCAAUCUAUCAAAUGUAUUUUAUAAAGCCCCUUUUACAUCAGCAGUUGCCACAAAGUUCUUAUAAUGAUACCCAGCCUAAAACGCCAAAAUGCAAGCAAUGCAGACGUAGAAGCACAGUGGCUAGGAAAAACUCCCUAGAAAGGCAGGAACCUAUAAAGAAACCUAGAGAGGAACCAGGCUCUGAUGGGUGGCCAGACCUCCUCUGGUUGUGCUGGUGGAGAUUAAAAAAGAGUACAGCCAUUUAGACCAGAUCGUUCUUCAAGACGUUUAACGUUCAUAGAUGCCCAGCAGUGUCAAAUAAUAAUCACAGUGGUUAAAGAGGGUGCAAUAGUUCAGCACCUCAGGAGUAAAUGCCAGUUGGCUCUUCAUAGCUGAGCAUUUAGAGGUUGAGACAGUAGAUCCUGUAGAGAGACGGGAUCAAACGGCAUGUCUGGGACAAGGUAGUUCCUUCGGUGAGUCCAGAGCAGGUAAAAGGGUUCCUGCAGACAGAAACAGCAGAGACUGGAUCAGCAGCACGACAAGGUGGACUGGAGACAGGGAAAGCCAGAAGUCGUCAGGCCAGGUAGUCCUGAGGCAAGGUCCUAGAGCUCAUGCCUUGCAUCCUUUAUUUAACUUGAGUGUAGACUAAGCCCUAGAGGUUUGUAGCUUCACCUGAUUUAGCCUACUUGUCAAUCCAGAUCUGAAUAUUUGAUAUCCUUUUUAUUAUACACUGUUGACAGUAUUUUUUUCCGAAGCUAAUCACUGAAUGUCCUACUUCAAGGAUGUGGUCAGGUUGACACUUUAAGUCAUAAUAACACCGAGUGGCGCAGCGGUCUAAGGUACCGCAUCUCGGUGCUUGAGGCGUCACUACAGACACCCUGGUUCAAUUCUAGGCUGUAUCACAACCGGCCGGGAUUGGGAGUCCCAUAGGGAGGCGCGCAAUUCACCCAGCGUUGGCCGGUGUAGGCCGUCAUUGUAAAUAAGAAUUUGUUCUUGACUGACUUGCUUAGUUUAAAUAAAGGUACAAAAAUUAAUAAAAUGAAGUCUGCUGCGUGGUUGCCAGGCUCGGUGGGUGACCGGUAACAAUGAUUCAACCAAGCUGUUCCAGGCCUGGAGUGGCACGCUGGAACUUCCAGAGGCUUGUAGACGUAUUAUUAUAUUAUUAUUAUAUUAGACCUGAAGCAGUGUGAUGUGAUCCAGAUCUGACAUCCCUAUUACCUCAACCACAGUCCUCACAGCUGAAGUCGUCUGCCCCUUCACCUGCUAUACCAGCCACGACAGGUGAUACAGAUCUGCCACCCCCAGCAGUUCAGCUGCAGUCACAGCAGUCCUCUGCUGUGGUAUUUCAUUUACCGGCUGCACCAGUUCCUACUACACUGGCCAUGAAGGGAGAUACUAUUGAGGAGACCCAGAUGGAUACAUAUCUGCCAUGCACUCCACCAGUGCCUGACAGACUCAUCUCUGAGAAAGCAGAGAUGGGUGGCUGACAAGGAAUAAUAAAACACAACACACACUCUCUCUCUGUCAUACACACUCACACACAUUAUCCCCAGUGUAAAUGAGUUGUAUUUACUUGUUUAUUUUAUGUUUGCUCAAUUUGAUUUUAGGAUUUGAGAUAUCUAUUCCUACAUAUCCAUUCUCAAUAUCUACAUAAUUACUCUAAAUAUCUAUCAAAUCAAAGUGUUAUUGAUAUUGUAAAAGGCUUGCUUAAUUUGUAUAGUUUGAGGAAAUUCUGUGUGCUUUUUAAAAACAUGCCUCCCUCUCACACACACAUUAGACCCAAUGUAAAUACAUUGUUUAUUUUAUGUAUGCUCCAUUUUGUUUGAGGAUUGUCAAAUCAAAGUUUUUUUGUCACGUGUGCUGAAUACAACAUGUAGACCUUACAGGGGCGGCAGCGUAGCCUCGUGGUUAGAGCGUUGGACUAGUAACCGGAAGGUUGCGAGUUCAAACCCCCGAGCUGACAAGGUACAAAUCUGUCGUUCUGCCCCUGAACAGGCAGUUAGUUAACCCACUGUUCCCAGGCCGUCAUUGAAAAUAAGAAUGUGUUCUUAACUGACUUGCCUGGUUAAAUAAAGGUACAA